UACGGAGGGGGCGAGCGUUAUUCGGAAUUAUUGGGCGUAAAGCGCACGUAGGCGGGUCGUUAAGUCAGGGGUGAAAUCCCGGAGCUCAACUCCGGAACUGCCUUUGAUACUGGCGAUCUUGAGAUCGGAAGAGGUGAGUGGAAUUCCCAGUGUAGAGGUGAAAUUCGUAGAUAUUGGGAAGAACACCAGUGGCGAAGGCGGCUCACUGGUCCGAUACUGACGCUGAGGUGCGAAAGCGUGGGGAGCAAACAGG
rnacentral:rRNA from 1 species